AUUGAACGCUGGCGGCAGGCCUAACCCAUGCAAGUCGAACGAGUGGCGGACGGGUGAGUAAUGUCUGGGAAACUGCCUGAUGGAGGGGGAUAACUCCUGGAAACGGUAGCUAAUCCCGCAUACCAUCAGAUGUGCCCAGAUGGGUUUGGCUAGUUGGUGGGGUAACGGCUCACCAAGGCGCCGCUCCCUAGCUGGGCUGAGAGGAUGACCAGCCACACUGGAACUGAGACACGGUCCAGACUCCUACGGGAGGCAGCAGUGGGGAAUAUUGCACAAUGGGCGCAAGCCUGAUGCAGCCAUGCCGCGUGUAUGAAGAAGGCCUUCGGGUUGUAAAGUACUUUCAGCGGGGAGGCGUUACCCGCAGAAGAAGCACCGGCUAACUCCGUGCCAGCAGCCGCGGUAAUUC
rnacentral:rRNA from 1 species